CCAAGCAUUAUUCGUUAAAGACAUAGAUAAUUUUCUUUUCCUCCCCCCCCCCAUCCCCCCCAUAGCCGACGCGUAAGUCCACUGGGCAUUAGAUGUUUUCUUGAUUUGAACCCAUUGCUUUGUUGAUAGUAUUUGCAUUAGAGUGUUCAUUUAGAGUCCAUCCUCUGUCAUGUCCCCUCAACCUCUGUAUUCAGGCAGUUGCUUUUUCUCGGCGUUUCCACUCCCAUAGUUUAUCCUUUGCUUAUGAAUGGUGUUUUUUUCUCCUGGAUCCCUGCAAGUUGUUCAGGGACAUUACACCGCCACUAAUGGAGAAGUCCAUUACGUUCGAUUAUACCACCAGUGUAUUAGUCUCUGUGUACAAUGUUCUCCUGGUUCUGCUCCUCUCACUCUGCAUCACUUCCUGGAGGGUGUUCCAGUCUCCAUGGAACUUCUCCACUUUGUUUUUUCCCUUCUGAUUUUAGUUAUAUUGGUUUUGUUUGUACAAAAGCUUUUUAGUUUGAUGUAGUCAAAAUUAUUUAUUUUACAUUUUGUGAUUCUUUCUAUAUCUUGCUUGGUUUUAAAGCCUUUCCCCUCCCAAAGGUCUGACAUGUAUACUAUUCUGUGUUUACCCAAUUUACUUAUGGUUUCCUUCUUUAUGUUUAAGUCACUCACCCAUUUUGAAUUUAUCUUGGUGUAGGGUGUGAGGUGUUGAUCUAUUCCUAGUCUCUCCCACACUGUCUUCCAAUUUUCCCAGCAGUUUUUAUCGAAUAGUGGAUUUUUGUCCCAAAAGCUGGGAUCUUUGGGUUUAUCGUAUACUGUCUUGCUGAGGUCGCUUUCCCCCAGUCUAUUCCACUGAUCUUCCUUUCUGUUUCUUAGCCAGUACCAAAUUGUUUUGAUGACUGCUGCUUUGUAAUAUAGUUUUAGGUCAGGGACUGCAAGGCCCCCAUCAUAUGUGUUUUUUUUUCAUUAUUUCCCUGGAUAUCCUUGAUCUUUUGUUCUUCCAAAUGAACUUUGUUAUGGUUUUUUCUAAAUCAGUGAGGAAGUAUUUUGGUAGUUCAAUGGGUAUGGCACUAAAUAGAUAAAUAAGUUUGGGUAGGAUGGUCAUUUUUAUUAUAUUGGCUCGUCCUAUCCAGGAGGAGGGUUCCCAGGGUCUGUGCUGUUGAUCGUUUUGAAUUUCGGCGCCUUAGGAGCUUAUAGUUUGAGAUCAGUCGGGAAGGGUUUUCCGGAGAUCUGAACUUUAGCUUUCUCUAAGCCGCCAUCUUAACCGGAAGUCCAAUGUGGGGGAGAUUUAAAAAAAAUAAUGAAGGAUAGCAAAGAAACCUUGUACAUU
rnacentral:lncRNA from 1 species